rnacentral:rRNA from 1 species
UACGAAGGGGGCUAGCGUUGCUCGGAAUCACUGGGCGUAAAGCGCACGUAGGCGGAUUGCUAAGUCAGGGGUGAAAUCCUGGAGCUCAACUCCAGAACUGCCUUUGAUACUGGCAAUCUCGAGUCCGGGAGAGGUGAGUGGAACUGCGAGUGUAGAGGUGAAAUUCGUAGAUAUUCGCAAGAACACCAGUGGCGAAGGCGGCUCACUGGCUCGUAUCUGACGCUCAGGCGCGAUAGCGUGGGGAUCAAACAGG